rnacentral:rRNA from 1 species
AGUUUGAUCCUGGCUCAGGAUGAACGCUAGCUACAGGCUUAACACAUGCAAGUCGAGGGGCAGCAUGAACUUAGCUUGCUAAGUUUGAUGGCGACCGGCGCACGGGUGAGUAACACGUAUCCAACCUGCCGAUGACUCGGGGAUAGCCUUCCGAAAGAAAGAUUAAUACCCGAUGGCAUAAUUCUUCCGCAUGGUAGAACUAUUAAAGAAUUUCGGUCAUCGAUGGGGAUGCGUUCCAUUAGGUUGUUGGCGGGGUAACGGCCCACCAAGCCUUCGAUGGAUAGGGGUUCUGAGAGGAAGGUCCCCCACAUUGGAACUGAGACACGGUCCAAACUCCUACGGGAGGCAGCAGUGAGGAAUAUUGGUCAAUGGACGAGAGUCUGAACCAGCCAAGUAGCGUGAAGGAUGACUGCCCUAUGGGUUGUAAACUUCUUUUAUACGGGAAUAAAGUGAGGCACGUGUGCCUUUUUGUAUGUACCGUAUGAAUAAGGAUCGGCUAACUCCGUGCCAGCAGCCGCGGUAAUACGGAGGAUCCGAGCGUUAUCCGGAUUUAUUGGGUUUAAAGGGAGCGUAGGCGGACGCUUAAGUCAGUUGUGAAAGUUUGCGGCUCAACCGUAAAAUUGCAGUUGAUACUGGGUGUCUUGAGUACAGUAGAGGCAGGCGGAAUUCGUGGUGUAGCGGUGAAAUGCUUAGAUAUCACGAAGAACUCCGAUUGCGAAGGCAGCUUGCUGGACUGUAACUGACGCUGAUGCUCGAAAGUGUGGGUAUCAAACAGGAUUAGAUACCCUGGUAGUCCACACAGUAAACGAUGAAUACUCGCUGUUUGCGAUAUACAGUAAGCGGCCAAGCGAAAGCGUUAAGUAUUCCACCUGGGGAGUACGCCGGCAACGGUGAAACUCAAAGGAAUUGACGGGGGCCCGCACAAGCGGAGGAACAUGUGGUUUAAUUCGAUGAUACGCGAGGAACCUUACCCGGGCUUGAAUUGCAACUGAAUGAUGUGGAGACAUGUCAGCCGCAAGGCAGUUGUGAAGGUGCUGCAUGGUUGUCGUCAGCUCGUGCCGUGAGGUGUCGGCUUAAGUGCCAUAACGAGCGCAACCCUUAUCGAUAGUUACCAUCAAGUUAUGCUGGGGACUCUGUCGAGACUGCCGUCGUAAGAUGUGAGGAAGGUGGA